UUAAACAACUCGAUCAGGGGAAGUAAUUAGAAUCCUGAACCACAGAAAGCUACCAGUUGCUGAGAGGUAGUGGAAGGUUCUUAUGAAAAUGACCUGUGAUUGGUGCGCUGAGUCUUAAAUGAUAAAGAUGCAAUGGCUGGUAUCCAUUAUAAUACACGCGUAUAAUCACUUUUUGUACGUUGACGAGGAGACGAGUGUAAACUCAUCUCAAAUUAGAAUGGUACCGCGUUAAGUCGCUUCUAGA
rnacentral:ncRNA from 1 species